GAAAUGCGAUAAGUAAUGUGAAUUGCAGAAUUCAGUGAAUCAUCGAAUCUUUGAACGCACAUUGGGCCCGCCAGUAUUCUGGCGGGCAUGCCUGUCCGAGCGUCAUUUCAACCAUCAAGCCCCCGGGCUUGUGUUGGGGACCUGCGGCUGCCCGCAGGCCCUGAAAACCAGUGGCGGGCUCGCUGUCACACCGAGCGUAGUAGCAAUCACCUCGCUCAGGGCGUGCUGCGGGUUCCGGCCGUUAAACAGCCUUACAAAACCCAAGGUUGACCUCGGAUCAGGUAGGAAGACCCGCUGAACUUAAGC
rnacentral:misc_RNA from 1 species